UUUGCGCCGAAGGUAUACCGGUAAGGAGUGCUGGAGCGAAUAGAAGUGAGCAUGCAGGCAUGAGUAGCGAUAAUUAAUGUGAGAAUCAUUAACGCCGUAAACCCAAGGUUUCCUACGCGAUGCUCGUCAUCGUAGGGUUAGUCGGGUCCUAAGUCGAGUCCGAAAGGGGUAGACGAUGGCAAAUUGGUUAAUAUUCCAAUACCAACAUUAGUGUGCGAUGGAAGGACGCUUAGGGCUAAGGGGGCUAGCGGAUGGAAGUGCUAGUCUAAGGUCGUAGGAGGUUAUACAGGCAAAUCCGUAUAACAAUACUCCGAGAACUGAAAGGCUUUUUGAAGUCUUCGGAUGGAUAGAAGAACCCCUGAUGCCGUCGAGCCAAGAAAAGUUUCUAAGUUUAGCUAAUGUUGCCCGUACCGUAAACCGACACAGGUGGGUGGGAUGAGUAUUCUAAGGCGCGUGGAAGAACUCUCUUUAAGGAACUCUGCAAAAUAGCACCGUAUCUUCGGUAUAAGGUGUGGUUAGCUUUGUAUUAGGAUUUACUCCGAAAGCAAGGAAACUUACAACAAAGAGUCCCUCCCGACUGUUUACCAAAAACACAGCACUCUGCUAACUCGUAAGAGGAUGUAUAGGGUGUGACGCCUGCCCGGUGCUCGAAGGUUAAUUGAUGGGGUUAGCAUUAGCGAAGCUCUUGAUCGAAGCCCGAGUAAACGGCGGCCGUAACUAUAACGGUCCUAAGGUAGCGAAAUUCCUUGUCGGUUAAAUACCGACCUGCAUGAAUGGCGUAACGAGAUGGGAGCUGUCUCAAAGAGGGAUCCAGUGAAAUUGUAGUGGAGGUGAAAAUUCCUCCUACCCGCGGCAAGACGGAAAGACCCCGUGGACCUUUACUACAGCUUGACACUGCUACUUGGAUAAGAAUGUGCAGGAUAGGUGGGAGGCUUUGAGUAUAUGACGCCAGUUGUAUAUGAGCCAUUGUUGAGAUACCACUCUUUCUUAUUUGGGUAGCUAACCAGCUUGAGUUAUCCUCAAGUGGGACAAUGUCUGGUGGGUAGUUUGACUGGGGCGGUCGCCUCCCAAAUAAUAACGGAGGCUUACAAAGGUUGGCUCAGAACGGUUGGAAAUCGUUCGUAGAGUAUAAAGGUAUAAGCCAGCUUAACUGCAAGACAUACAAGUCAAGCAGAGACGAAAGUCGGUCUUAGUGAUCCGGUGGUUCUGUGUGGAAGGGCCAUCGCUCAAAGGAUAAAAGGUACCCCGGGGAUAACAGGCUGAUCUCCCCCAAGAGCUCACAUCGACGGGGAGGUUUGGCACCUCGAUGUCGGCUCAUCGCAUCCUGGGGCUGGAGCAGGUCCCAAGGGUAUGGCUGUUCGCCAUUUAAAGCGGUACGCGAGCUGGGUUCAGAACGUCGUGAGACAGUUCGGUCCCUAUCUGCCGUGGGCGUAAGAAGAUUGAAGAGAUUUGACCCUAGUACGAGAGGACCGGGUUGAACAAACCACUGGUGUAGCUGUUGUUCUGCCAAGAGCAUCGCAGCGUAGCUAAGUUUGGAAAGGAUAAACGCUGAAAGCAUCUAAGCGUGAAGCCAACUCUAAGAUGAAUCUUCUCUAAGCUCUCUAGAAGACUACUAGUUUGAUAGGCUGGGUGUGUAAUGGAUGAAAGUCCUUUAGCUGACCAGUACUAAUAGAGCGUUUGGCUUAUCUUU
rnacentral:rRNA from 1 species